rnacentral:rRNA from 1 species
CAGUCGCCACGGUAAUACGUAGGGUGCGAGCGUUAAUCGGAAUUACUGGGCGUAAAGCGUGCGCAGGCGGUUCGUUAAGACAGAUGUGAAAUCCCCGGGCUUAACCUGGGAACUGCAUUUGUGACUGACGGGCUAGAGUAUGGCAGAGGGGGGUAGAAUUCCACGUGUAGCAGUGAAAUGCGUAGAGAUGUGGAGGAAUACCGAUGGCGAAGGCAGCCCCCUGGGCCAAUACUGACGCUCAUGCACGAAAGCGUGGGGAGCAAACAGGAUUAGAUACCCAGUAGUCCCUGUCUCUUAUACA